CGAUUCGACAGACGCUCUCUCUCCCGCACGAGAACGAGAGACGCCUGGCGCUAGGGUUCCCUUCGCCGCCACGCCCCAUCCCUCAGCACCCGGCAACCCUCGCUACUCUCUCCCAUCCCCUUGCAGUCGCCGUCGUAGUCCCCCGCCGUUGGUCAGGGCAGAGACAGCUUCUUUCGCGCGGCGAGGUGGAGCAAGGUCAACGCGGCGGCUCGAGCGGCUGGGGGUGGCACGGCUGAUCGAUGUAGAGCGGCGGGGGCGGCUGGAUCGACGGUGGCGGCUAGAUCUUGCAGAACGGCACCGCUGGAGGUCAACGCGGUGGCUUGAGCGGCUGGCGGCGGCGCGGCUGCUCGAGGUGGAUCAGCGGUGGCGGCUGGAGCUUUUAGAACGGCGGCGGCGGAGGCUGGAGCUUGUAGAUCGGCGGGCCAACCUGAGCAACAGCUCCAAGGAGGACGCCACCAGGUGCCUGGUCUGGCUGGGGGACCUCAUCGACGCCAAGAAGUUGGGAGGCAGUGCUGCUGGCAGCGACACGCUGCACCUCCCUGUCGCCGGCGUGGCUACUGCAGGUCCAAAGACACAGUGUACUAUGCUCAUGCAUAUGUGACAUAAACCAAUUCUGCAUUAUGCUGCUCAGUGCUCGCAAAUACUGCAAAAUUACUAGGCCUAGGAGAUUUGAGCAUUUGUGAAGGUUUUGGGACACGAAGCCCCAUUGAAGGUUUUGAAUUUUCAAAGCUUCAAAGAUGUUGCAGCUGUGACAAACAAUUUUCACCCAUCACAUAUGAUCGGACAAGGUGGUUUUGGCAACGUCCAAUGUCGCCGCCGUGGAGUUCACUGGAAGAAGAACAUCGGUCGAGCAUUCCAAUGUCACCUCCGCCAAGUUCGCCACCGAGCCAUCCAAUGUCGCCUCUGCUGAGUUCGCCGGAGGAAGAACAUCCGCCGUCCGAACGAUGCUACACCAGAGGUAUGUAUCAGUUUUCCCAAAUUAGUCCAACGUUGUGGUAUGUAUCAGCUUUUCCCAAAUUAGUCCAACGCUGUGGUAUGUAUCAGCUUUUCCCAAAUUAGUCCAACGUUGUGGUAUGUAUCAGCUUUUCCCAAAUUAGGCCAACGUUGUUGGAUAUUGCUUCAAUGAAAAACAAUCUGUGAAACCUGGGCGUGUACUAAUGUUUCCUGUAGUUUUUUCUCUUUAACCUGAGCAUCCAAUCUAUGUAUGCCGGGUGUUGCCUGUACAUUAUAUUACUCCAUUGUUUGCCAGUCCCUGUUUGAUUCCCUGUUUGCUCUCUGUUUGAUUGAAAUCCAUGACCAAAUAAGUUCAUGAACAGUUUUCUGCUUGCUCCCUGUUUGAUUCAAGUCUUAAAGAUUCAUAUUUAGUUAGAUAGGUUCAGUGAUUCAGAAUAAUAUUUGAGAAGCUUCUCUGUUGGCUGGCAUCCCUGAUGGCAGUUGUAGAAAUGUAGCUAAGGAAAGAGUGCCUCAUAAUUCAUUGGAUGUAGAUCAAUAGGGUGUAAAAGACUUUGAGUUUCUAGCUUUCAUAAAAUUUACACAUGUACUCCCUCCGUCCCAUAAUGUAAGACCAUUUUGCAAGCUUAACAGUAUGUUGUGGUUGGUCCUUAAACUUGAACAAUAAGUGUGUCAAUUGAGGUUCAUGCCAUAUUUAAUUAGCAACUAAUUAUCCUGUGGCGCUUCGGCACUAAUGUAUCCACAGUCUGACCAUUGGAUUGAAUAUUCAUCAGAAGAUUGUAGCCUUACCUGACUCCAUGCCCUUUUCAAGUGGAGUUGCAGAAAUGCAGAGUAUGAAUGGGGAAACGAUCAUAGAUGUCAACACCUACAGUAUGAUUUAUCUUGAUAGAGAUGCACUGGAUUCUCAAGUAGUUUUAAUGUUUUUUUCUAGAUAGCUCAAGUAAUUAAGCUUCUGCAAUUCAUGAAAAACAAAAAGAAGGUGUCAUGUCAGGUGCUGAAGCUAAUCAAGUAACAAAAAUAAAAGGGACCAGUAGUCAGGUUCCAUUAACCAAAUGUUUCACAUCUAUUAACCUGUAUCUUGAUUGAGAUGCACUGGGUUCACAAGUAGUUGUAGUGUUUUUUCUAGAUAGCUAACAAAAGGAAGGUGUUCUAUCAGCUGAUCAAGCUAAUUAAGUAAAAAGAAUUAAAGGGACCAGUAGUCAGGUUCCAUUAACCAAAUGUGUCACAUCUAUUAACCUGUACUCAUAGUAGCCCACGUUGUUCAAUAUUGCUUGGAGAUUUGCCCUUUUUUACAAAUCAAAAUCAGUCUUUGUAACCUGGGCGUUCACUAAAGUUGUAUGCAUUUUUUCUGUUUAAUCUGGGUGUCCAAUCUCUGUAAGUUGGGCGUUGCUUGUAUUUUAUAUUAGGCGUUACCUAUACUUUAUAUUAGUCCAACGUUUGAGUCUGUGUUUAAUUCUCUGUUUGCUCCCUAUGGACAAAUAAGUUAUUUUUCUCCCAGUUUGAUUCAAGUCUGAAAUAUGCAUAGAUGCUACACUUAAGUCAGUAAACGAACAAAAAACUAGGAAUGAUCUUUUAGUUAGUUUUGUGUCACCGAGUAAAUCUGUGCUCGAGAUUACAAUUACUUUGAACAGAGAAAUUAAGAAAAAUAUCUGGAAUCAUCAUCACCCCUUAACCGAUCCGGCGGCAGGAUGUAAAAAUCCAAUCUACUUGGUGGAGACAUACUGGCAUGUGAUGCCGUCCAACUAAUAGUUGUUAUAUGCCUUCCAUUGUGUUUGAAUUUUUUUCUCUUGCAUUGCCUGGACUACCUGAUAGAUGCUCCUUCAGCUAAUAUUAUUACGACUGGAGCGGCAGGCAUGUCCAUAUUCGGUGCUGCCAGCGGCAAGCAAUACAGGAAGGAUUUUAUUAAUAUGGCAUUAAGCACACUUUACAAAUAGCAGCUCAUUACAGCAAGUCUAGCCUGAUGGUGUGCCUUCAAAUUCAGACUCCUGUGCACUUUGAGUAUUCUGCAUGGAUGAAAUGAAGGCGUGGUCUGGAUAGCAGCUAAGAUUGGCCGGAUAGCCCACGGACCUGCUUUAGUAACAUCAGGUUCUACAACAGCUGAGGCAAGCACGACAGAGUCUGUCAAAAACUUCGGAUCCUACACAUGUAGUUGAGCUGCAAUCUUCACCGCCAACAGCAGUCCAUAAGCUUCUACCUGCAGAGCUGAUGCUACAGGUGGCGACACAGCAGAGAUGUAUACAUGUUCGGUAUGUUGCCCGUUAAUUUAUAAGAAAACACCUAUGUCCGCCUUUGCUACAGCUUGUCCUGGCUCCAACGACCAAGCUGCAUCUGAGUAUAUUUGUGUACCUAAAAAAUCUAUUGUAGACUGAGAAGUAACAACACUAGAGAGCUUUAGCUGUUCUGGCUGACUGUGAUCUCCCUUCCGAGUUGAAUCGGGAACCUGUAACUCCUUAAUCAGUAAAAUGUACAAUGUACAAUGCACAAUAUCAAACUGUUCUUAUCUUUCUCAUCUCCUCCCAAUUCCACAAUCAUUUUUUGUUAUUAAUUUCACCACAACAGAAUUAUUGUAAUAGUGUGCAUCUUCAUGAUUUUAUAUAUUUUCCUGUGUGGUUACUCUGUUUAACAAAGUAA